rnacentral:rRNA from 1 species
GAUGAACGCUGGCGGCGUGCCUCAUACAUGCAAGUCGAGCGAACGGACGCGAAGCUUGCUUCUCUGAUGUUAGCGGCGGACGGGUGAGUAACACGUGGAUAACCUACCUAUAAGACUGGGAUAACUUCGGGAAACCGUAGCUAAUACCGGAUAAUAUUUUGAACCGCAUGGUUCAAAAGUGAAAGACGGUCUUGCUGUCACUUAUAGAUGGAUCCGCGCUGCAUUAGCUAGUUGGUAAGGUAACGGCUUACCAGGGCAACGAUGCAUAGCCGACCUGAGAGGGUGAUCGGCCACACUGGAACUGAGACACGGUCCAGACUCCUACGGGAGGCAGCAGUAGGGAAUCUUCCGCAAUGGGCGAAAGCCUGACGGAGCAACGCCGCGUGAGUGAUGAAGGUCUUCGGAUCGUAAAACUCUGUUAUUAGGGAAGAACAUAUGUGUAAGUAACUGUGCACAUCUUGACGGUACCUAAUCAGAAAGCCACGGCUAACUACGUG